UACGUAGGGGGCAAGCGUUGUCCGGAAUCAUUGGGCGUAAAGCGCGCGUAGGCGGCCCUGUAAGUCCGUUGUGAAAGUCGAAGGCUCAACCUUCGAAAGCCGAUGGAUACUGCGGGGCUAGAGUCCGGAAGGGGCGAGUGGAACUCCUGGUGUAGCGGUGGAAUGCGCAGAUAUCAGGAAGAACACCAACGGCGAAGGCAGCUCGCUAGGACGGUACUGACGCUGAGACGCGAAAGCGUGGGGAGCAAACAGG
rnacentral:rRNA from 1 species